UGGGGAAUAUUGGACAAUGGGCGCAAGCCUGAUCCAGCCAUGCCGCGUGAGUGAUGAAGGCCCUAGGGUUGUAAAGCUCUUUCACCGGUGAAGAUAAUGACGGUAACCGGAGAAGAAGCCCCGGCUAACUUCGUGCCAGCAGCCGCGGUAAUACGAAGGGGGCAAGCGUUGUUCGGAUUUACUGGGCGUAAAGCGCACGUAGGCGGACUAUUAAGUCAGGGGUGAAAUCCCGGGGCUCAACCCCGGAACUGCCUUUGAUACUGGUAGUCUUGAGUUCUAGAGGGGUGAGUGGAAUUACGAGUGGAGAGGUGAAAUUCGUAGAUAUUCGGAGGAACACCAGUGGCGAAGGCGGCUCACUGGCUCGAUACUGACGCUGAGGUGGGAAAGCGGGGGGAGCAAACAGG
rnacentral:rRNA from 1 species